rnacentral:SRP_RNA from 1 species
GCCGGGCGUGGUGGCGCGUGCCUGUAAUCCUAGCUACUUGGGAGGCUGAGGCGGGAGAAUUGCUUGAACCCGGGAGGCAGAGGUUGCAGUGAGCCGAGAUCGCACCACUGCACUCCAGCCUGGGUGACAGAGCGAGACUCCGUCUCAA